AGGCAUUUGCAACUUUAGUACGAAGGCGCGAAGUGAAACUGCGCAGGGAAGUUGAGCACAGGCUACAAUACCACGCAACGAAGCGUUUUCAAUUAGGAAUCGCCAGAUUGAACCGAAAUCGAAUUGAGGUGUAGGGACUAGCAGCGGAAAAUAGCUGGAAUCGAGACA